AGGGGACCCAAGAGAUGGAAUCCGUAGAAGUGAGGUCUGUUGGAUCUUGGUUGAGUUUAUGCCUGGAUGACCUGUCUUUUGCCUAACUAGCAGAUUAUGAAGAGGAGUGAUGGGAGAUUGGAAGAAUAAAGACUCACAUACRCAGAUCUUGAAGAUGAACAGCUGGGAUCUGGUGGAGCGCCGCUCUCUGAUGGAG